CACGUGCAUGAUCUUACUUACUUAGCUAGCUACCUACACAGUUCUCUUUAGGGAUGGGAUCUAUUAGAAGCUAGUAGGGGUAUUUAUUUUUAUUUUCUCAGAAGUACUGAGUUAGGUAGCAGGAUUUAGAAAUGUGGAGCUAAUGUUGUAAACCGUCAUUGACCACACACUCCAGCACAGUAGGUGGCAGAAUGCAACUUUAACGUUUGCGUUUAAACGUUUAACGUUAACGGACCGCCAUUACAUCAUAGAAGAACAAGAAUAAUAAGAAGAUUUAUCUUUGUUUUAACAUUUAUUCAGUGCCAUACCAUGACGUCGAUUGAGGCUUGGUUCAUGGACGAUUCUGACGAAGAUCAUAGGAUGCCACAUAAACUAAACCCAAACGAACCUGUGUCUUUGAAGGAGUUAGAAAAUAUUGGGGUUUUCUACUGGAAGUUAGAUGCUGAUAUUUAUGAAACAGACCCUGCGCUGGAAAAGAUCCGUAAAGACAGAGGCUACUCCUACUCCGACAUCAUCACUAUUGACAAGGACAAACUACCUAACUACGAGGACAAGCUGAAGAUGUUUUUUGAGGAGCACCUCCACCUGGAUGAUGAGAUCCGCUACAUCCUGGAUGGCAGGGCCUAUUUUGACGUGAGGGACAGGGAGGACCGCUGGAUCCGCAUCGCUAUGACCAAGGGAGACCUGAUCACUCUGCCUGCAGGCAUCUACCACAGAUUCACUCUGACUGAGACCGUAUGGCUCCAUUUGUCAUUUGGCUGUCUACAACACGUACAGUAAAACUGUCCAACAUGGAGGGGAUUCGAUUAUCUGGCCCGGGUUUCCCUGGUCGAAGGCGAAAAGCGAUUGCAUUAGUUUUGGAACCAGGCUUCCUCCCAGGCGUGAGCCAGGUGCCCCGCUCGUGGCCGAUGGUUAAAACUACACUCAAGCCAUGAGACUGUUCGUGGGGGAGCCUGUAUGGAAAGCCUACAAUCGUCCAGCAGAUGAGUUUGAUAUUCGCCAGAAGUAUGUGAGCGCUCUCCAAUGUGCUUAAGACGAGCAACAGGUGGUACUGGAUGGAGUGUCCAUAGAAUUACACGAUUUAGUGGAGUUGGAUAAUCAGACUCAUGACAGGCUUUUGUAUUAUCAGGUAUUUAAACCCAUGCAGUGCCUACAUUGUAAGCAAUUAUACUAAUUAACACCACUUUCUAUGAUUUGUCUUUAUAUUGUAGAAUGUAUUGCUCCACUCAAGGUCGCAUUCUAUUUUUGUAACUACAUCAGUGAGAAUCAAGUCUAGUAAGCUGUUUGUUACCUACAGUGAGCUAAAAUGCCAGUAAGCUAUCACAUUAAAUCAUUUGUCUAACUUUU